UCCCUUGCACACACCUGGUUGCUUCACUCCUUUCUUUUACCCACUUAGGGUUUCAAGGUCCAUGCAAUUGUCUCUCUUGCUUUGGGAAACUUAACUUCACCUCUCUUCAAAGACAACCUCAGGCCUGGGAGGCUGCUAAACAUCCUACAGUGUACAAGACAGCCCUCACCACAGAGAAUUACCCAGACCCAAACGUCAAUAGUGCCACAGUUGAGAGACCCUGAUGUACGCUAAGAGCUGGGAGGAGUAUUCCAGCCAUGUGGCAAGGGUACACUGU
rnacentral:lncRNA from 1 species